rnacentral:rRNA from 1 species
GACGUAGGGCGCGAGCGUUGUCCGGAUUUAUUGGGCGUAAAGAGCUCGUAGGCGGCUUGUCACGUCGGGUGUGAAAGACCGGGGCUUAACUCCGGUUCUGCAUUCGAUACGGGCUAGCUAGAGUGUGGUAGGGGAGAUCGGAAUUCCUGGUGUAGCGGUGAAAUGCGCAGAUAUCAGGAGGAACACCGGUGGCGAAGGCGGAUCUCUGGGCCAUUACUGACGCUGAGGAGCGAAAGCGUGGGGAGCAAACAGG